rnacentral:pre_miRNA from 1 species
UUUAUGUAUAGUUUUUAUUCUGUGUUCAACGUUUAACUUUUCGUCUUAUUUUACUUUUUUCUUAAUUAUUAGAUGAUAAAAUAUGAAUAGUGUUUUAUGUGUGACUUAUUUUCUAAAAAAAUAUUAAUUUCUUAAAUAAGACGGACGGUCAAAUGUUAGACGCAUAGACUGAAAACUGCACUUAAA